AUAAAAUGUAACUUAUUUAUUUUUAAAGAGUGGAAUAAGGCAACUAAAUCUUAGAACUCAAGUUACAGUUAAUGAACAGAUUAACUCUAGAAAGAACUCAGAGGGUAACAGCAAGAUCAAUGAUUCUAAAGGAUAAAAUCCUUAAAGGCAUUUGUGAAUGCAUGUGAAAUAAAGUACAGUUUUCCUGUUGCCUCAUUACAGCGUUUCUCCUCAAAGACAGGUAGGCAGGUAGGUAGGUAGGUACUGUAAGAGAGAGUGAAGGAAACUAAGUCAGGAAUUUUAUUAUACAUAGCAAUAAUUUACCUGCUGCUAACUGCUAAAUUCUUUUUGUUCAGCAAGAUGGUAUGCUCAUAGUAGCAUUAAUAAAUUGGGAUGCAAAAAAAAAA